GGUCGAAAGCUGUCCUGGGUAGCAACUUCUAUCAAAAGGAGCAUCACCUUGUCCAGCUGUUUUCCUAAUGCUCAGUGACAAAGGUGGCCCAGAGCAAAGAGAAGAGGCUUUGGGAACAGACGUGAAAUGGAGUGGAAGCUGUGGGCUCUGCAGGAGGGAGAGUACUGAAACUGUUGGCAUGGAUCACCUCACCUGGCCCAAUUCUAAUGUUUGAAGCUCAUUUUAUGCUUGCAAGUUAUUAACUUAUGGUUUGAGCUUAUGAUAUAAUAAACAUGCAAACAAAC